AUUGAACGCUGGCGGCAUGCCUUACACAUGCAAGUCGAACGGUAACAGGUCUUCGGAUGCUGACGAGUGGCGAACGGGUGAGUAAUACAUCGGAACGUGCCCGAUCGUGGGGGAUAACGCAGCGAAGGCUGUGCUAAUACCGCAUACGAUCUACGGAUGAAAGCGGGGGACUCGCAAGGGCCUCGCGCGGACGGAGCGGCCGAUGGCAGAUUAGGUAGUUGGUGGGAUAAAAGCUUACCAAGGCGACGAUCAGUAGCCGGCCUGAGAGGGUGAACGGCCACAUUGGGACUGAGACACGGCCCAGACUCCC
rnacentral:rRNA from 1 species